GCUUCUUCAAUUUAGGUAACCUAUUCAAUUCUCUCAAUCAAUGGAAAAGGAAAAUUGAUUUCUGUUAUAAUCGUUUGGUGGAACGAGAGUUUGGGGAAUUAUGUUGCUGAACCUUGCUUCUAAACCCUAAUUUCAGUUUCAUCGUGCCUCUACCAUCACUCUUUCUUCGUGCCUUCCCAUGGAUGUUGACUUAGAAGUUCAAAUCUUUGAAUCGAGGAUAAGUUUAUUUGAAUCUGUGGUAACUUUUUUUAGAAUCGAUUGAUCAGAUCAGAUCACUCCGUCACUCACAAAGGUAUGUUUCAUUCAUACUUUUUUGCCCUAAUUUUUGUCACCGUAUCAGCUAGAUCUGAUUCGUCCUGUUACCGUUACCGAAUAUGUAAUGUUCUUUGACGUUUAUUCGAUUUUUUUUUCGCCUGUUCAUAUAUGUAAUGGAUUUGGAUCGAAUGAGUGUAGUGAUUAUACUGUUCGAUGGUCGCAAAGCAUGUCCCGAUGGUGUUGCACUACG
rnacentral:lncRNA from 1 species